rnacentral:rRNA from 1 species
UACGUAGGGAGCAAGCGUUGUCCGGAUUUACUGGGUGUAAAGGGUGCGUAGGCGGGAACACAAGUCAGGCGUGAAAUACCGGGGCUCAACUCCGGGGCUGCGCUUGAAACUGUGUUUCUUGAGUGAAGUAGAGGCAGGCGGAAUUCCUAGUGUAGCGGUGGAAUGCGUAGAUAUUAGGAGGAACACCAGUGGCGAAGGCGGCCUGCUGGGCUUUAACUGACGCUGAUGCACGAAAGCAUGGGGAGCAAACA